rnacentral:rRNA from 1 species
UACGUAGGGGGCAAGCGUUGUCCGGAUUUAUUGGGCGUAAAGAGCGUGUAGGCGGUUUGGUAGGUCCGCUGUGAAAACUCGAGCUCAACCUCGAGACGCCGGUGGAAACCAUCAGACUAGAGUCCGGAAGAGGAGAGUGGAAUUCCUGGUGUAGCGGUGAAAUGCGCAGAUAUCAGGAAGAACACCCGUGGCGAAGGCGGCUCUCUGGGACGGUACUGACGCUGAGACGGCGAAAGCGUGGGGAGCGAACAGG